rnacentral:rRNA from 1 species
AUACGUAGGGGGCGAGCGUUGUCCGGAAUGAUUGGGCGUAAAGGGCGCGUAGGCGGCCCGGUAAGUCUGGAGUGAAAGUCCUGUUUUUAAGAUGGGAAUUGCUUUGGAUACUGUCGGGCUUGAGUGCAGGAGAGGUAAGUGGAAUUCCCAGUGUAGCGGUGAAAUGCGUAGAGAUUGGGAGGAACACCAGUGGCGAAGGCGACUUACUGGACUGUAACUGACGCUGAGGCACGAAAGCGUGGGGAGCAAACAGGAUUAGAUACCCUGGUAGUCCACGCCGUAAACGAUGAGCACUAGGUGUCGGGCCGUAAAGGCUCGGUGCCGGAGUUAACGCAAUAAGUGCUCCGCCUGGGGAGUACGCACGCAAGUGUAAAACUCAAAGGAAUUGACGGGG